rnacentral:rRNA from 1 species
GGCUGCUUCUCAGCUCGUGUUGUGAAAUUUUGGGUUAAGUCCCGCAAGGAGCGCAACCCUUAUCCUUUGUUGCCACCGGUUAGGCCGGGCACUCUAAGGAGACUGCCGGUGAUAAACCGGAGGAAGGUGGGGAUGACGUCAAGUCAUCAUGGCCCUUACGACCAGGGCUACACACGUGCUACAAUGGCCGGUACAAAGGGAAGCGACCUCGCGAGGUCAAGCAAUCCUCAUAAAGCCGGUCGUAGUCCGGAUUGGAGUCUGCAACUCGACUCCAGAAGUCGAAUCCUAGUAAUCGGG